GUGCCAGCCGCCGCGGUAAUACGUAGGUGGCAAGCGUUGUCCGGAAUUAUUGGGCGUAAAGGGCGCGUAGGCGGUACCCUAAGUCAGAUGUGAAAUCCCGGGGCUUAACUCCGGACGUGCAUUUGAAACUGGGGAACUCGAGUGCAGGAGAGGUAAGUGGAAUUCCUAGUGUAGCGGUGAAAUGCGUAGAUAUUAGGAGGAACACCAGUGGCGAAGGCGACUUACUGGACUGUAACUGACGCUGAGGCGCGAAAGCGUGGGGAGCAAACAGGAUUAGAUACCCUGGUAGUCCACGCUGUAAACGAUGGAUACUAGGUGUGGGAGGUAUCGACCCCUUCCGUGCCGCAGUAAACGCAAUAAGUAUCCCGCCUGGGGAGUACGGCCGCAAGGUUGAA
rnacentral:rRNA from 1 species